CCCUUAGAUGUUCUGGGCCGCACGCGCGCUACACUGAUGCAUGCAACGAGUUUAUAACCUUGGCCUGAAAGGUCUGGGUAAUCUUUUGAACGUGCAUCGUGAUAGGGAUAGAUUAUUGCAAUUGUUAAUCUUGAACGAGGAAUUCCUAGUAAACGCGAGUCAUCAGCUCGCAUUGAUUACGUCCCUGCCCUUUGUACACACCGCCCGUCACACCUACCGAUUGAAUGGUUCGGUGAAGAUCUCGGACUUCGAUAUUUAUUCUUUAUUGAGUUUAUAUUGUGGGAAGUUAUCUAAACCUCAUCAUUUAGAGGAAGGUGAAGUCGUAACA
rnacentral:rRNA from 1 species